rnacentral:tRNA from 1 species
GGGCGAUUAGCUCAGUUGGCUAGAGCACUUGGUUUACACCCAAGUUGUCGGGGGUUCGAGUCCCUCAUCGCCCACCA